CCUACGGGGCGCAGCAGUGGGGAAUAUUGCACAAUGGGGGAAACCCUGAUGCAGCAACGCCGCGUGAGUGAAGAAGUAUUUCGGUAUGUAAAGCUCUAUCAGCAGGGAAGAGAAUGACGGUACCUGACUAAGAAGCCCCGGCUAACUACGUGCCAGCAGCCGCGGUAAUACGUAGGGGGCGAGCGUUAUCCGGAUUUACUGGGUGUAAAGGGAGCGUAGACGGCCGUGCAAGUCUGAUGUGAAAACCCGGGGCUCAACCCCGGGACUGCAUUGGAAACUGCAUGGCUGGAGUGUAGGAGAGGCAA
rnacentral:rRNA from 1 species